GUACAGUAGUUAUUGACAAUAUUAAUUAUGUCAUAAUUUUGCCAUAUCGGUGUGCUGCAUGGUGUGCUUGUGUGAACUUUUGGGGAUUCAGUGGGGUUUCCAUUUAGGAAAUUCCAUCCCGUAGGAAGUGACUCAAUUGAGUGUCCCCAGGCUCCAUGGUGCUCUCUUACAUAAAAUGAGCACCUACAAGCUAGAAGUGUAUCAUUUUCAUCGUUGUUCACUGUUAUAUGUGUCGCUAGUACAAUUAUGACGAAUAAAGAAUACGAUUACUAUAAAGGUCUUUAUGCUCUCAGUGCAGAAAGUAAUGCUGAAGACUGUAGAAAACUUUACAAAAAUUCAAAGGAAUCCUAUGAAAGGGUCAUGAUGAUAGACCUUAAAUAUGGGACCGAAGGACUGCCGGUUUCUCGAAAACAUGCAACAACUUGGAUAUGGCAAGGCACGGACCUUGACAGGAAUUAGGCGAUGAGGAACGUAGAGGUUACAAGAAUAUUGAUGGCGUAGACAUUUGCAAUGACGUCAUGAUAAAAGCCAAAGAGAAAUCGAUUUACACGAAUUUAAUUGUGGGGAGAUGGCUUCGAGGAUUCUAAAAGUUGAAUGUGAGUGCUGACCAAUAUGAUGCUGCAGUUUGUGUUGGGGUCUUUACCUAUGGUCACGUGAAAGGCAAAGGUUUUGAUGAUUUUGUGCAUAUUCUUAAACCUGGUGGAAUUGCAUGUUUUACCGUGAGGAAGGUAGUGUGGGAUGAUAAAGUCUAUGGGUACACAGAUAAAAUGGAUGAGCUCUGUGAAAUGAAGAAA